UAGGGUGCAAGCGUUGUCCGGAAUUAUUGGGCGUAAAGAGCUCGUAGGUCGUUUGUUACGUCGGAUGUGAAAACCUGAGGCUCAACCUCAGGCCUGCAUUCGAUACGGGCAAACUAGAGUUUGGUAGGGGAGACUGGAAUUCCUGGUGAAGCGGUGGAAUGCGCAGAUAUCAGGAGGAACACCAAUGGCGAAGGCAGGUCUCUGGGCCAAUACUGACACUGAGGAGCGAAAGUCUGGGGAGCGAACAGGAUUAGAUACCCUGGUAGUCCAGACCGUAAACGGUGGGCACUAGUUGUGGGAACCUUCCACGGUUUCUGCGACGCAGCUAACGCAUUAAGUGCCCCGCCUGGGGAGUACGAUCGCAAGAUUAAAACUCAAAGGAAUUGACGGGGCCCCGCACAAGCAGCGGAGCAUGCGGCUUAAU
rnacentral:rRNA from 1 species